UACGUAGGGUCCAAGCGUUCUCCGGAAUCACUGGGCGUAAAGCGUGCGUAGGUGGUUUGUUAAGUGUGAUGUUAAAUCGUGGGGCUCAACCCUAUCGAUGCAUCGCAUACUGGCAGACUAGAGGACAGCAGAGGCAAGUGGAAUUUGUAGUGUAGCAGUGAAAUGCGUAGAUAUUACAAGGAACACCAAUGGCGAAGGCAGCUUGCUGGGCUACUCCUGACACUGAGGUACGAAAGCGUGGGGAGCGUACAGG
rnacentral:rRNA from 1 species